rnacentral:rRNA from 1 species
AACGAACGCUGGCGGCAGGCUUAACACAUGCAAGUCGAGCGCCCCGCAAGGGGAGCGGCAGACGGGUGAGUAACGCGUGGGAAUCUACCCAUCUCUACGGAAUAACGCAUGGAAACGUGUGCUAAUACCGUAUACGUCCUUCGGGAGAAAGAUUUAUCGGAGAUGGAUGAGCCCGCGUUGGAUUAGCUAGUUGGUGGGGUAAAGGCCUACCAAGGCGACGAUCCAUAGCUGGUCUGAGAGGAUGAUCAGCCACACUGGGAUUGAGACACGGCCCAGAACCCUACGGGAGGCAGCAGUGGGGAAUAUUGGACAAUGGGCGCAAGCCUGAUCCAGCCAUGCCGCGUGAGUGAUGAAGGCCCUAGGGUUGUAAAGCUCUUUCACCGGUGAAGAUAAUGACGGUAACCGGAGAAGAAGCCCCGGCUAACUUCGUGCCAGCAGCCGCCGUAAUAC